rnacentral:misc_RNA from 1 species
AGUAAGGACAUCCCUCCAUGGC